rnacentral:lncRNA from 1 species
AGCCCCUCCUAUGGCAUCUCCUUCAGGAUCUGUGGGUCCCUGAGUUGUGGAAAGCCGCCCAGCCUUCUGAGCUGGGGGCCCGCAGGGUUAGCUCUGGUUGCUCUGGGCACUUGUGGGAGAGCAGGGUCAGAGCGGAGGGCAGCAGUUGGGGGCUGAAUGAUGGUGCCCACUCCUGCACACCCCGCGGUGGGCGAGGCCGCCCCUGCCUCCCUCUCCAAGGAGCCGACCACGAAGUCCGAGAAGCAGAGAGGGGAGAUGGGGAGGGAAUGGCAGUGGGGCUGCAGGGCACGCUCGGGUCAGCACUAACCGCUGGUGUAAAGGGACGAGUGGCCACUUCUGGCGGAACAACAGGCGGCGGUGGAAGGCAGCGCUCAGGCCGUCAGCGGGCCUGCGGGGGACGCACUCACCGAGGACCAGCAGCACUUUCCAGCUAGGCGCCCGAUGCGCACGGCAGAGCUCAGGGUCCGGCAGCGCCUCAAAGGCCUGCACCCGGGGCUCUGGCCCCGCCCGAGUACACGUGCGCGUCAGGCCCCGCCCCCAGGCGCCCUGGCCCCGCCCCUCGCUCAACCACCGCGCUUCCCGUGGACCCUGAUGCGGUGAUCUCAGGAGACCCCCAGCUGCUGCGGUUCCUGGCUGAGUGAGGCCAGGCCCUCAGGCUCCAGCAUGGCCCUGCAAGACCACUGCUGCACCCCUGCGGCUGUGCAGAGGAGGCUGCCCAUCCUGGCCUGGCGGUUGGACUCUGAAGAUGGACUUCAUCACUGGACUUUCAGUGGGGCUCAAGGUCAUUCCCCACGCACUGGCCUGUGCUGAGGUGACCUGACUCCUGCCCCAGGUGGCACCUGUGGCCCCACUUGGGUGCGGGUAGAAAAGAGGUCCCCUCAUCACAGCAGGUCACACUCAUGGAUGAUCGAGGGGUUCCUGCUGUACUUCGUCUCCUGUGCCAUCAUUAAAGGUUUCACCUCUGCUGCUACCAUCACCGUGGACUUCGGGCAGAUCCAGGCUGGCCUGUGCAGUCUUCCCUGAUGGAGGGCAGUGAGCAGAUCAAGGCCAGGAGGAGGCGUGUGUGAGAAUCCAGCAGCUGACAUGUCUUCCCUCUCACUCUGUUCUGGGGCUGGAUCCACACUUUCCCUGUGCUUCCUUCUCGCCACACCCCUGGGAGGGAGGUUUAUCAUCAUCUGCAUUUAGAGAGGAGGAAACCCCUUAGAAAGUUUGAUCCUGAAGGCAUCUGUCACUUCUGGAAUCCACUACAACGACGAGGAGGAGAGUCACUUCAAUGCCUAUGAAAUGGAACCUUCAGGAGUUUUUAGUUAUAAAUCUUGGAAUCUGGAAGAUUCAAUUCAUGAUUGCAAAAUAUUUAUUUCCUAAUAUUUUGUUUUGUCAUAAACUGAUGCUUUUGAAAGAGAUCUCAUUAAUUGGACUGUUUCACGUCUCUCUGGGGUGGAGCAGUAAUAAACGC